GCUGGGGUCGUCUAGCCUGGUCUAGGACACGGCGCUCAUAACGCCGGAAUCGGGAGUUCAAAUCUCCCCCCCAGCA
rnacentral:tRNA from 1 species